rnacentral:rRNA from 1 species
UACGAAGGGUGCAAGCGUUAGUCGGAAUUACUGGGCGUAAAGCGUGCGUAGGCGGUCUCUUAAGUCCGUUGUGAAAGCCCUGGGCUCAACCUGGGAACUGCAUUUGAUACUCUGGAGCUUGAGUACGGGAGAGGAUAGUGGAAUUCCCAGUGUAGAGGUGAAAUUCGUAGAUAUUGGGAAGAACACCGGUGGCGAAGGCGGCUAUCUGGACCGUAACUGACGCUGAGGCG